UAUUUAAGAAUUUUUCAUCAAAAACCUAUAGCUGACCUACAGAUCAAUUUUAAAAAAAAGACAAACUAAUAUCAAAUAACCUGCUAAAGUACCAGUCAGUGUUUCUUCUACUACACCAUAGCUUGUCAGACUUAGCUGGAGUUUUAGGAACCAGAAAUGCAGUCUAAGACAUGUGAAAUACAUGACUCCUAUUUCAUCAGGUUUGGUCUGUACUCACUGAGACAAAUCAUUCAUUCUUAGGGAGGAGGAGGCAAAACAGAUGAAAAUCCAGAUUAAUCAGAAGAUCUGGCUUGAGGGAGUUGCAGGUAUAAGUGGGGAUGAGGAGGAAGGAGAGAGUGAGAUAGAGGAUGAGAGAGAGAUCAAAACAUCUGGUCCCCUUUACUCUUCUUCUCUCUCCCAAUCAGCUCAGCUGUCUUUUAGAAAGUAGACAUGUCUUUUGAGAAGGAGCAAUCUGCAAGUGAGCUGGAAGCAGAGAUGCCAUUGAUUGACCUGUGGGAAGCUCUCCUGUUCAUCCAGUGCUAACUGCAUUCUGGGAAUACCGACUGCAUUAUUCAGCCAUGGAAGAACUCCACUCAGAGGGAGUCGUGAUAAAUCAGAGCAUCAGCCCUUUCCGCUUGGAUACCAAUAAGUCUUGCACUUCAAAAUUGCUGACCUAAAAAGGAUACUUGAGAAGGAGCAUGUCUUUUUUUUUUUCUUUUAAAGAAAGCAACACCAGAAGCAGUCUAACUUCCUUGUUCACUUAGAUGCAUGCAAAAAAGAAAAGUAUGAACUACCUUUCCAGCUGUUCUGAUGGGUUUGUAAUUACAAACUGUCAAUCAGCAAUCACAAACAAUUACUAAUGACAAUACCAUGAAGUAAUUUUUAAAACAACAAUAACAACCGAGCUUCUUGACUUCACCAUUCUGCCAUAAUGCCGCCCAUUAAAGUAAACUAAGCAAAACAAAGUAAUUUGCUGAUUCAUUGCAUUCCUAAACCAUGAUUUGGGGAGUGUCUGGUGUUCGGAAUAUUUGCAUUACUGCUCUCCCAACCAU